rnacentral:misc_RNA from 1 species
GAUGAAGAACUUAGCGAAAUGCGAUACGUAGUGUGAAUUGCAGAAUUCAGUGAAUCAUCGAAUCUUUGAACGCACAUUGCACCUCUCGGUAUUCCGGGAGGUAUGCCUGUUCGAGCGUCAUUUGUACCCUCAAGCUCUGCUUGGUGUUGGGUGUUUGUUCCGCCUCUGUGUGUGAACUCGCCUCAAAACAAUUGGCAGCCGGCGUACUUGUUUCGGAGCGCAGCACAUUUUGCGAUCCAGAUCAACGUACAGCGGCAUCCAAGAAGCCUUAUUUAACGCUCUUGACCUCGGAUCAGGUAGGGAUACCCGCUGAACUUAAGCAUAUCAAUAAGCGGAGGA